CCGACCAGUCCGCCCGGACACCGGGGGGCGCUGCGGGAGGACCUCCAAGCCCCGGCGCGGCCGCCCGCUGCCCCGCUGCCCCGCACCUCGCCGCCGCCGCCUUCGCCUCGCCGCCUGCCCGGAGGGUGGGGCCGAACCUCCCCCCGUCCGCCCGGGGGACCGGGUCUGAGAUUCUGCCUCUCACCCACACACCGGGGGCAAUUCACAGUGGCCGAUUAACCCACCAACCCCGCACGUCGUUGGAACGUGGGAGCGAACCGGAGCACCCGGGGGAAACCCACACCGUCACAGAGAGAAUAUGCAGACUCCACGCACACAGACAGUGCUGGACGUUGGGAUCAAACCUGGGUUUCCAAGGCUGGAGGCUCAAUGACUGACCCACCACACUCUCCGGAGCGGUGGGGAAGGAGUUAAAUCUGGACUGGCCCCUGUUUGACCGUGAGGACCAGCCCUGCUCACGUGCCUGGCGACGGGGAAGCAGAGGGCGUCACGGGUUGGGAAUAUCGGGAAAACAACUCAGUCAGCAGCACAUAGAACAUCGAGAUCCUCAGGAAACUGGAGCACCCGAGGGAAACGCACACAGUCACAGGGAGAAUAUGGAAACUCCACACACGCACAGAGCCUGAGGUCAGCAUCAAAGCUGAGUCCAUGUCGGUGUGUUACACCAGCACUAACUGUGACACCAGCUGCACGUCCAGGAACAGAAACAGGCUUUGUUCCUGUAAGUACUUGCUGCGUUGAUCACUUUGCACUAAAGUGGACCUUUAUUCGUUCUAAUUGUGCUCUUUGUAAAAACUGUGUAUAAUUUAUGUUUUAAUUUAUGUUUUUCUUGUGAAUGCUGCUAAGGUGAUGCUAUGUGCCUGUGAUGCUGCUGCAAGUUUUAUAUUGCACCUCUGCACACAUGGACGUGCACAUGACAAUAAACUCGACCUUGACUU